rnacentral:rRNA from 1 species
UACGUAGGGGGCAAGCGUUGUCCGGAAUUAUUGGGCGUAAAGAGCUCGUAGGCGGUUUGUCGCGUCUGCUGUGAAAACUGGGGGCUCAACCCCCAGCCUGCAGUGGGUACGGGCAGACUAGAGUGCGGUAGGGGAGAUUGGAAUUCCUGGUGUAGCGGUGGAAUGCGCAGAUAUCAGGAGGAACACCGAUGGCGAAGGCAGAUCUCUGGGCCGUAACUGACGCUGAGGAGCGAAAGCAUGGGGAGCGAACAGG